rnacentral:lncRNA from 1 species
CUGAAUUUAUCGUCUGGGAUUUUUUCAUGUAGAACUCUGCAAUCGCUUGAGUUCACAAAUUACGGUAUCCGAUUCCAUCGCCCUUUUCACCAUUGCCAUAACCUCAAAACCUUGAAACUCUAUUACUGUGAUAUUAGCAGUGAAACCCUUGAAGCAAUCGUUUCUAGCUUUGAUUUUAUGGAACACCUGAGCGUUUGUUCUUCCACCUCCAGUUUAAAACAGGUUCGGAUCUUUAGCCAAACGGUUAAGACUGUGGAGCUGGAAUCAUUGGAUUUGGAGGGGAUUUAUUUAUCUACCCAAUCUCUUGGUGCUUUGGUGCUUCAUUCUAUGAAAUUUCCGGCCAGACGUUUGGUUAUCCAUGCUCCAAAUCUUAGGGUUUUUACUGCAACUCGCAAGCCCAUAACUAAAAAUUCAGACAAUAUCACCAAGAUUGCUGAGAUUCUAGAGUAUUGCACUCAUCUCUUGGUAAGCAUUUAAUUUCACUACCUCUUUUACUAAGCAUUUAAUUUCACUACCUCUUUUACUUUCUGGUUAGAUACAAAGUAAGCAUUUUGUUUUUGUUUUAAUAAGUAAAUAGGUUUUCAAAUUAGUUUAUACGUUGUGGGUGUUACAUAAAUACUUAUUUUACUUUGAUUAUCGGGAAUUAUACACCUUUCACUAUACGUUGUGGGUGUUAUAUAAAUACUUUUUUUACUUUGAUUAUCGGAAUUAUACACCUUUCACUAUACUUAAAUCUGCUUAUUUUGUUUUUGUUUUAAUACCUAAACUACAUCUUUCAACUAUGCUUAAAGUUUAUAUUUUAUGAGUGUUAUAUAAAUGCUUGUUUUGCUUUGGUUAUCGAAAUCAUACACCUUUCACCUUUUACCUUUCACCAUACCUAUACCUCUAUUUUAUUAUAAAUGCGUACUUUAUUUUUUUUAAUAAGUAGAACGAUUUUCGAAUUAUAUAUCCUUUAACGAUACUUAAAAUUUAUAUUUCAUUAUAUAUUAUAAAUGCUUAUUUUGCUUUGGUUUUCGGAAUCAUACACCUUUCACCAUAUCUAUAUCUCUAUUCUGUUAUAAAUGCGUAAUUUGUUUUUGUUUUAAUAAGUAAAACGAUUUUCGAAUUAUAUAUCUUUUAACGAUAUAUUUCAUGGAUGUUAUAUAAAUGCUUAUUUUUCUUUGGUUAUCGGAACCAUACACCUUUCACUAUACCUAAACCUCUAUUUUAUUAUGCUUAUUUUGUUUUUGUUUCAAUAAGUAAAUUGUUUUCAAAUUAGAUAUCUUUUAACGAUACUUAAAGUUUAUAUUUUACGAGUGUUAUAUAAAUACUUAUUUUGCUUUGGUUAUAGGAAUCAUACACCUUCCGCUAUACGUAAACCUCUAUUUUAUUAUAAAUGCUUAUUUUGUUUCUCUUUUAAUAAGUAAGACGGUUUUCAAAUUAUAUAUCUUUCAACGAUACUUAAAGUUUAUAUUUCAUUGUGUACUAUAAAUGUUAAUUUUGCUUUCGUUAUCGGAAUCAUCCACCUUUCACUAUACCUAAACCUCUAUUUUAUUAUAGAUGCUUACUUUUGUUUUUAUUUUAAUAAGUAUAAUGAUUUUUGAAUUAUAAUGAAUUAUAUAUCUUUUAACGAUACUUAAAGUUUAUAUUUCAUCGUACUUUAUAAAUGCUUAUUUUACUUCUUUUACAAUACCUAAACUUGUAUUUUAUUAUAAAUGAUUAUUUUGUUUUUGUUUUAAUAAAUAAAAUGGUUUUCAAUUUAUAUAUCUUUUAACGAUACUUAAAGUUUAUAUUCCAUCGUGUUUCAUAAAUACUUAUUUCGCUUUUGUUAUCGGAAUCAUACAUCUUGUAUUAUACUUAAACUUGCAUUUUAUUAUAAAUGCUUAUUUUGUUUUUAUUAUUAAGUAAGAUGGUUUUCGAAUUAGAUAUCUUUUAACGACGACUAAAUCUAUACUCCAUCGUGUCUUAUAAAUGCUUAUUUUCUUUGGUUAUUGAAAACAUACACCUUUUACUAUACCUAAACCCGUAUUUUAUUAUAAAUACUUAUUUUGUAUAUUAUUUUAAUAUGCAAAUUGGUUUUCAAAUUAUGUAUCUUUUAGAAUACUUGUAAUUUAUGUUAAUAAGUAACUUUUGAAUUAUACACCUUUUAUUUAAAUUUUAUUUUAUCGUGUUGUAUAAAUGAUUACUCUAUUAAUGCAUUAGUAGUUUUUAAAUUACACAUAUUUUAUCGUGUAUAUAUUCAUGCAUGUUUUGUUUUUAAUACGUAAAUUGUUUUUGUGCUAUUAGGUACAUUGGUUUCUUUUAAAGAUAUCUAUAGUUGUACUUUACAGUGUUAUAUAUAAAUGUUUGGGUGUUAAAAGAGAUGAAUAGCUAGAUAUAAAGAACCGAAAAAUGUUGGAUGUAAUUGUAAAACACAUUAUAUUUUUAAGGGGAGAAUUCAGAUUCGAACCUUGGAGAUGAUAUUAUUGAGAGCGACAAUCAUGAAUCUCGAAAAAAUUGGUCUCUGUGAACUGCAAAACGAACAUGAUGACUUGAUAAAUUAUUUUGGUUGGCCCGUGCUGACACCUGUUAAUUAUGAAGCUAAUGAUCCAAUGGAAGACCUGAAUCUGUUUAUGAAUUUGAGGGAGCUAACCAUUGAUUUAGACUUGAACGAUAGAAGGGAAAUGUUGAUCCUCUGUAUCGUUCUACAACGCUGCCUUAAUCUACACCAACUUGAAAUCAACAUAGAGGUAAUUUAUAUAUAUAUAUGUGUUUAGAUUUAGAUCAUCCUGUACUGGUGGAAAUGUUAUGAACAUGUGAUGAUCAUUGAUUUAUGCAUUAUAUUCAGGAAAGUAGAAGUGAAAUAGAGGAAGCAACAAGUGAUUACAGUAGUGUAAACAACCGAAUGCCAUAUCCAGAGACAAAGCUAUGGGAGAAAAGGGGGCUGUGCGACUGUAUUACAUUCACACUAAAACAAGUAUCCAUUAAGGGAUUCAAAGGGAAAGAUGGGGAAAUGGAAUUCCCAAGGCAUCUGAUUACGAAAGGUGCCAAGUUGAGGAGAAUAGAGAUUUGGUGUAACCAUGACUGCUCUAGAGAAGGAGGUGAGGCAACUCUUGGUUUACUUUCACUGCCUAGAUCCUCCAUUGAUGUCUCCAUUCUUCUUAAACCGCCACCCCAAUUUGAUGGUAGUUUUGGAAGAUGGGUCUCAACCCUAAACUAGUCUUAUUGUCAAGGAUUUUUGGAUUAGUUAAGGAUUUUGAACAGGAUGGGGAAUUUAUCAUUGGUUUUUCAAAGAUGAUUUUGGGUGUGACUUUAUGUUUCUAUAUUGUUGGAAUGACAUGCUCCAGUUUGGAAGUUACUCUUGUGCCUUAAUCAAAUUGUCAAUGUGGUAUUUGUACUUUUAAUUUAUUUAAUUUGUUAUUUUUAUUUUUAUUUUAUGGAACAUUUUGGUACCCUAAUUUAGCAGUGUUAAAUUUUGACAUAUAUUGACACAUGAACUAUUGACAGAAUGUGACAUGGCACAGUGAUUAGGGCAAAAUGUUAAAAGAAUAGAAUUUUUGGAUUUGCUAAAAAUUUUCUCCUUUAUUUUUUAAAUAUCAUUUAGAAAAUCAAAUAAACAUACAUGAAAUUUUAUUAAAAUAUAUCUUUUAACAAAGAAAUAUUUUUUUAAUUAAAUUAAAAGUAUUAAAUUUAAAAAAAGAAUAAACCCAUUUAUUUUCUAUUCUUUUUUUUUUAUCUUUUUUCUCUCUACUUUCAUUUUCUUCAUUUCUUUCUCCACAAUGAACCCUCGCCACCGUCAUUAUUGUCGCUCCUAUUGCUAGCAUCUCUACACUGUCUAGUGGUCUUGAUUCUCACUCUAAAAUGAAGCUCGUCCUUCCCGUUUCUGUUUCUCGCUUUUGAUCUCCCCAUAACCAACAAAAAGUUCAACCAAAGUUUCAAAAAAAAAAAAAAACCUUGAUCCAUCUCCAUCCACAAGGUUCUAGCAAUGUUGGGCUAAGAAAAUGUUUAUUAAUAGAUAAAAAAUAUGAUGGAGUGCGAGAGUUUAAUCCAUCUCUAUCAACAAGAUUCUAGCAAAAAUGAAGAAACAAAAAUAAUACAACAAAAAGAAAUAAAAAGAAAAGAAGAGAAAAGAUAAAUGAAAACCUAAGCUAAGAAAAGAAGAGUAAAAAUUAUAGAAUGUCUAACAUAAUUUUCUACACUGGCCUAGUCACCCAAAUAGUUGAUAUAAGGUGGUAUUUAUAGGAAAAAAUAUUUAACCUAACAUUGAAAACUAUGUCCUUAAAGAAAAAGUGACUUAAGCUUGUUUGGACACAAAAUUACCCUUACAAUUUUUCUUCACCCAUUAGACUUGAGUGUCGCAACACCUAGGUUUUCGGUGUUGCGACAUUCAUGGCAGUGCACACGAGCUUGGCUUGGGGGCACCUUGUGUCGUGAUCUUGACGACAAUGGCACUAGGUUCCUUCACUUGAACAAUUGGCUUGGAGUCAUAACUUCGAGGGCUUGUAGUUGCAGCUUUAAGGCUUGGUGUUGCGACCGACAUGAUUAGUGUCAUGACUUCAAUGGUAGAUUACUCCAAGUUGGGUUUUCAUUGAACCUUCCGCUAUACCUAAACCUCUAUUUAAUUAUAAAUGCUUAUUUUGUUUCUGUUUUAAUAAGUAAGACAGUUUUCGAAUUAUAUAUCUUUUAACGAUACUUAAAGUUUAUAUUCCAUCGUGUUUUAUAAAUACUUAUUUUGCUUUCGUUAUCGGAAUCAUACAUCUUUAAUUUAUUAUACUUGAACCUAUCUUUUAUUAUAAACGCUUAUUUUGUUUUUAUUAUUAAGGAAAAUGGUUUUCGAAUUAUAUAUCUUUUAAAGAUGCCUAAAUUUAUACUCCAUCAUGUUUUCUAAACCCAUUUAUUUUGUUUUGUUUUCUUUUCUUUUUUAUCUUCUUUCUCUCUACUUUCAUUUUCUUCAUUUCUUUCUCCACAAUGAACCCUAGCCACUGUCAUCGAUGUUACCACUGCUCUUAUUGCUAGCAUCUUUACACUGUCUAGUGGUCUUGAUUCUCACUCUAAAACGAAGAGCAUCCUUCCCUUUUCUCUUUCUCGCUUUUGAUCUCUCCAUAACCAACAAAAAGUUCAACGAAAGUUUUUUUAAAAAAAAACCUUGAUCCAUCUCCAUCCACAAGGUUCUAGCAAUGGUGGGCUAAGAAAAUGUUUAUUAAUAGAUAAAAAUAGGAUGGUGCGCGGGAGUUUAAUCCAUCUCCAUCCACAAGGUUUUAGCAAGAAUGAAGAAACAAAAAUACUACAACAAAAAGAAAAUAAAAAGAAGAGAAAUGAAAACCUAAGCUAAGAAAAUAAGAGUAAAAAUUAUAUAAUGUCUAACAUAAUUUUCUACACUAGCCUAGUCCCCCAAAUAGUUGAUAUAAGGUGGUAUUUAUAGUAAAAAAAAUAUUUAACCUAACAUUGAAAAUUAUGUCCUUAAAUAAAAAUCGGCUUAAGCUUGUAUGAACACAAAAUCACCCCUACAAUUUUUCUUCACCUAUCAGACUUCAAUGCCGCUACACCCAGGCUUUUGAUGUUGCGACAGUUGUGGCAGUGGGCACGAGGUUAGCUUGGGGGCACCUGGUAUCGCAACCUCGAUGACAAUGACACUAGGUUCAUUCAUUUGAACAAUUGGCUUGGAUUCAUAACCUCGAGGGCUUGUUGUUGUUGCUUUAAGGCUUGGUGUUGCUACACAACAUGAUUAGUGUCGUGACUUCAAUGGCAGAUUACUCCAACUUGAGUUUUUGUUGGAGUUUGCUUCCCCGAGGUGAUAGGGAAUCAGUGUCGCGACCCCCAAAACAAUUAAGGUCCUCUUUGAUGUUUGGCCUUAGUCAUAUCCUUACACAAAUAUUAGACAAGAUACGAGUUUUCUUCGAAAAGUGAUUUGAGUUUGUUAGCCAUUUCGAUGGCUAAUGUAGCCUUUACGAUCUGACCAUAACGUCACAGUUGUAAUACCAUAAGGGGUACUAGUAAAACUACUGAUAUGGGUUAUAUUGAUAGGGAUUUUGUUGAUUUUAAUAUUAGAGGUCAGUUUGAUUUUGUUGGUUUUGGUUUCCCUGCAUGGAGUUUUGGUUUUAAGUUGUUCGGGUUUGAGUUGUGUUACAUAGAUAUUUUGAAUAGUGGGAUCCAUGGUUGGGUCAUUAGUAGGAUCAAAAUCAGUGCUAGGAGGAUCACUAGUACUAGGUUUUACAUUGUGGCACCCCAAACCCGGUCAGAAUGGAUCGAUCUAAAUUCAGAACGUCAAAUUAGCCACUUACUUGACUCUCCUUACCAGUCAACUAGCACACCACAAACCAACUAUCACAUCAAUUGAAAACAUGCUUAAAUAAGUAAUUUAAAACAUGCAAACCUAAAUCGUGCUAUGUUCAUCAUAAUACAAUAAAAAAAGAUCGGGGGUAAAAUUGUUACACUCCAUAAACGUUAAAUACGCAAAUCAUAAAUUUGGACCAACCAGUGUCCUAAGCAUUUCAUUUUAAAGCAUCUAUGGGAAAUUCAGUUCAAAACAAUAUUUAAAACUCACUUAAUUCCAAAACGAAGUUUAUAGACUAAAAUGUAAUUUUUUUCAAAAUAUCCAGAAAACCAUUUUAAGGAAUUGAAACUACCAUACUGAAAUUCUUGGAAUGAAAUUAAGACAUGAAAUAUAUAAAAUAUUGUUAAUAUAAAUACAAAAUUUUCUGUGAGAAUAAAUUAAUAUUGCUCAUUAAGGCAUUAAAAAGUGAUAAAAUUAUAAAUUGCAAAUUUCGGGGAUGGAUUAAAUUGAAAUUCGAUAAGUAAUUGAAAAGAUUAGACGGAUAAAUUAUUCAAAUUAACAAGUUAGGCAAGACGUUAAGGGAAUAAAAUAUAUGAGGACCUCAAGGGAUAUUAAACCAUGAGAAAUGGAAAUUUACCUUACUAGGAAUACUCCCGCACGAAGUGCGUGUUUUUUUUUUUUUAAUGUAAAAAUUUUAUUUAAUGUUUGUAAAUUUAAUUUAAUUCAAUAAAAUUAGAAUUAUAUAUAUUUUUCUUUGAUUGUAAUUAAAUUUAUAUUUAAUUAACAAAAAACGAGGAAUUCUUUAAACCUAGCACAAAGUGCAUUAUAAUUAUUAACUACUAAUUAUUAUUAAAUGAUCGGUAUUUAAAAAAAAAUAUUUUAGCCUUCAAUUUAAUUUAUCACUUUUUUUGAGCCUUUAAAAUUAUAUUAUUUGUCAAAUUAUCCCAAAAUGGAUGGAAAUGUUAACUUUUAUUAACUUUGCUAAUGUAGCAUACACGUUAAUUGCCAUGUAGAUGCCACUUAAGCAAUUAAUUAAUUUUUAAAAAUUAAAAUGAUAAAAAAUAUUGUAAAAAUAAAAAUUAUUAAAAAUUAUUUAGAAAGUAUAAUAUUAAAAGAAUUUUAUUUAAUUUUUUUAAAAAAUUAAUUAAUUGCUAACAUGUCAUACACGCGGCCAUCCACAUGUAUGACACGCCACCAAAGUUAACAAACGUGAACUUUUCUAUCUAUUUUUGGGGUGAAUUGACAAAUAGUGUGUAACACCCUAUUCUCGACCCGAUCAUUGGGUUUGAGCUACAGAAUAUCACAUUCAUUACUGGAAUAACUACAAUUAAUCUAACAUAAUUUUUUAUUGAUUUAUCACAUUAUAUCUGUCGAAACCAUUUUUUUGAAAACAAAAAAAUUAGUUGUCGAUGAAAAUUUGGAGUCUCCACCAAUCUUUUAUUAAGGUGUGAUUGGGUCACCUAAAAACGUCUUUGGUCUACGAGUUUUAGAAAAACGGGUUCGGGAGUCGGUUACGUAUCAGGAAGGAUUAACACCCUCAUAACACCCAAAAAUUGGUACCAAGUUGACUAAUUAAUGUCUUAAUGUCGAGAGUUGAAAAAUAUGAUCCCUAAUUAAAUUAUCCGUUAAGUUAUUAAGACUCCCUCAUUUCGAAACAGAAAACAUCACACCUAAUGCGUUAGGGCACGAUAUUUUAUUUCUUCAAGAUGAGUUUUUCCCAAAGGUUUGUGUGAUAAAAUUUAAAAGAAUAUUCCAUUGUUUAAGAUUUUUGACCAAAUCACAACCCAAUACGUUAGGGCACAAUUUCUCAACAUCCCAAACAUUGAAUAUUUCCUUUAUUAAUAUAUAUAUAUAUAUAUAUAUAUAUUUGUAAAAAAAAAAUCUUUGUCUUGAGAAAUCAAUACGUCACAUCCAAUGCGUUAGGACACAACAUAUUAAAUUCCCAACAACAAGCUAUUUUUGAUCAAAGAGUAAUUCUCGAUUGUUAGAUUUAACGAAGAAAAUCGGAACCCAAUACGUUAGGGCUCAAUUUCCUUGAAAAUCCUAAAUACGAGUAUUAUCUCAAUUUUGAAAAUUUUAAAAUCGAGUAAAGAAUGAUGUAAUGCUACAUUAAGUGUAAAAUACAAUAAUAAAUACAACAAUGACAUAGAAAUUAUAUAGAUUAAUAAAUAAAUAAAUAAAAAUAAAUCAAUGGCAUGCAAAGCAUCAAAUAAAUGAGCAAAAUAGAAUAACAUGCUUUUAAAAUAUAAAUGAAACAUAAAUCGAUAAACAAAAGAAGGAAAUAAAUAAAUAAAAACAUAAAGAGAAAAAAAAUACAAAAUAUAUACAUGGAACUUAUGAAGAAUAAGAAGGCGUGCACAUGAAUUUACAUAUAAAACUUUGUAUUAUAAAGUUUAUAUAACAAAAUAUAUAAUGCAUUUAUGCAAAUAAAGAAAAAUAUAAACAUAUAUAUAUAUAUAUAUAUAAAUAUAUAUAUAUAAAUUAUGAAAUAUGUGUUUAACAAAAUAUAUGUAUUUGAGCAUUCAAAAAAAAAAUGUAUGUAUGCAAAAAUUAAAAUAAUAAAGAAUGUGUAUAUGCGUAUAAAAUAUAAAUGUACAUAUGUAAAAAUAAAAGUUAUGCAAAUAGAAUAAUAAUAAAAAAUAUAUAUAAUAUGUGCAGGUGUUUAUAAAAGUUUUUUUUUUAAAAUGUAUGUAUACUAUUAUAAAAAAUAAUGUGUAUGUAUAUAUAUAUAAUAAUAAUAAAUGAUAAUAAUAACAAAUGGGGAUUAAAUCAAAAUUAAACAAAAUUUUAGGGCCAAAAUUAAAAAUAAAAAAAAUUGAAUUAAAAUGAGCGAGAAUGGGGAAGGACCAAAAGUAAAAAUUCCCCAUUUAGGGCCAGAACGUGCGGACCCUGCUUGCAGAUCGGGUCGACGAGCGGAUCUGGCCCCCCUAAACGGCGCCGUUUUGGUUUUUUUUUUAAACUGAAUUUUUUACAAAAAAAAAAUCAUUAGUAACCAGAAAAAAUAAAAAUAAAAAAACUAAAACACCCUACUUUCUCUGCUAAGGUUUUAUACCCUAUUUCAGCCGCCUAACCCCCCACCAUGCUUCCACCAUGAACGGCGGUCGGAACCUUACCCUAAAGGGCUUUUCGGCUCUUUUUCACAUGGAUCUGAAGGUCAAGGUAAUUUCCUCUUUUUGCUCUUUACUUUCCUUAUAAACAAGCAAAUAAAUAGAUUCGAAGGGCAGAAACAAAGAAAAUAAAUCACUACCUUUCCUCUAUUUUGUUUUUUCGUUCAUUGAUAUUGUAGACAUAUUUGCUUUUAUUGAUUUUUCCUCCCCCCUAAUUAUAGAAAAUGAAAUGGCUUUAUAUAGCCAGAAUCCAUCAAUUUAAAGCGAAUAAUAAAAAAUAAAUUACUAUGAUCUUCUCCUCUGUUGCCUUUUUUGUUAUUGUUGUGCUGGUGCUGUUUAGAUCCACAUUUUUUGCAGGUAUAGAGGCCGUGGAAGAGGUAUGUGCGUGGUGGUGUAGCACGCGUGAGGAAGAGGCGCGCCUGGGCGACUGUUGCGGCGCGAUGGCUGGAGCUUGCUUGGGUUUCUGAUCUUGUUUCGAUUUUGGGCCAAGAUUGUAUUGGGCUUGGGCCAUAUGGGCUGAUUGUAAUUAGGGCCUUUUACCCGGGCCAAAAUCGGGUAUUACAAUAUCCACUGAUAUGAUCAUUACAUCAUUAUUUUACAAUAUAAUAUCCUAUCUAGGGUUUAUACGAGCUUACGAAAGCUCUUUUCAUAACCCAGGUUAUUGGAGUACUAAACUGCAAAGUUUAAAACAUUUCGAGUUGGAGUCGCAACUUCAGGGGUGCGAUGUCAUAACCUCCAAAAUAGGUUGGCUUCACAACUUGAGGACUAAAAUGUAAAGUUUCUAAACUUUAUCGAAUUGGCGUCGUGAAUCAACAAGGGACGUUGCGAUGUUGAAAGCUACUAUUGUGACAUCCAUGGGGUUGUGUUGUGACUUUGUAGGUAAAAUACAAAAAUUCUAAUCUUAUUUGGUUUCAACCUAUCAUUUAACAAAAUAAGCAUAAUCCUAAGACUCAAAAUGACAUCAACAAUAUAUAUAUGUUCAAUUUCAUGGUUCAACCCAAAUAGGCCUUUAUCAUUCAUCCAUUACUAAAGUACACAAAAUAGUCCAUUUGCAACCUAAUAACCGGUUCAACCCUAGGAACAUGUCAUUUAUCAAAAUAACAUUACAGCAAAACAGGUUUUUAGCAGCAUUUUUAGUGGCGUUUGGAUAGAAAACGUCGUAAAAGGUAAAACAUUAGUAACGUUUUUGCAUAAAAGCCACAAAAGGUAAAGUAAUAGUGGCAUUUUUCUCAUAAACGCCGCAAAAGGUAAAGCAACAACCGCAUUUUUUCAUAAACGCCGUUAAAGGUAAAGUAAUAGCAGUGUUUUUUCCAUAAAUGCCGCAAAUAUUUUUUAUUAAAACGGCACGUUUUUUAUGGCAUUCAUUAACUUUUGGUUCUUUUUUCAGUAGUGCACUGCAUAAACCUCCACAAAAGCCUAAAAGGUAAAGUACUCUAAACCCUAAAGUACUCUGUUUCCUUUAUCCUCUCUUUCCCAUCACUCGUCGCAAAUGUUUCCAUCCUCACGGUGGUCUGCUCCUUCAUCCGGCGACCUCCUACCGCCUCCUCUUACUAUAUUUUGAGUUAAAAUGACAUGUACAUAGGUAGACCAAAUGUGUUCCUAUGUGUUAGGGACUAAAAUGCAAACUCUUGAAACUCUAUCUAUUUUGGUUUUACAUGAAGUAUUUUGGUUCUAUAUGAAAUGAAUUAUUGAAACCAUAAGUAUGUUUGCAAAUGUGGUUUACUAAUAUGAUGAUUAUGGUUGAUUUGGAGUGGUUUUAAAUAGUUUUAAUACAUUUUGAAUUGGUCUUAAGUGUUGAGAAGAAUAUAAUAUAUAUUGCAGGGGGUUUAGUGAACUUUUAAAUUGAUUUUUGCCUAAAUUUUACCUAAGGUAUCGAUACCAAGGGUAUAGGUACCGAUACCUAAUCUUUGAAAUACAAAAUUGCCAAAACAUAAUGUGAUUUUGGUAUUGUUUUUGUCAUUGGUAUCGAUAUUUUUUUAGAAGGUAUCGAUACCUUUUGUUUUGGUAUCGAUACUUUUUCCUUGUUUUGAGUAAAAAACAAUGUUAAAAUCAUUUCCAAAUAUAAUCUAACAUCCAAUAAUGACCCCACACAUUUAUAUUAAUAAUUUUUGGGUUAAAUAAGUUAAAAUACUAUGUAUAAAUGUUUAAAUUAAUCAAUGUCAAGCUAAAAUCGUUUUGGCACCAAAUGUGAUAGUCUUAUACCGAGUUUAUACGAUUGGACUAGGUAUAGAGGUGUUACAAUUUUGCACAACUGAUGUGACCCUUCUGGGAUGGAGAGCUUGUAUGUGAAAUUGGGAAGUUUUAUUCUCCGAACGACCAGAGCUCUUUGAAGUUCCUCCUGCUUAGUGGUGUAGGGAUAAAGUUUGUUUGUCACCAGAACUGGAGACAGCUGUUCUCGCGGUGGAUGGGCUGGGACUAAUCGAUUACCGAUUUCUCUCAUUCUCUCCAUAACUCGAGUAAAGGAAGAAAGAGAAAAUUUAAAAAGCAAAAGUGUUUGAAAUUACCUUUAUUUCAAGUUGCUGAAAAUGCUAAGUAUGAAAGAUUUAGGGUUCCGAAGGCUCCCCCUUUUAGAGAAAGAUUUCUAUUCCCGUACUUUAACUAUUUGUAUAACCGAGGAAAAUCAAUUACCCAAAAGUGAGCAGAUGAAAACGGAUCAACUUUCAACGGUCAGAUACAUAGGCUCGACACCCAUCUGCGCACGCGAUAGAACGAUCGUUAUGCAUCACAGCUCGCAAACCUACCCAGCAAGCUGCAUUAAAACUUGACAUGAUGGACCUAAGACAUGCCACUUUAUAGCACCCUUUAGGCCCACUAAUGGGGGAGUAGAUUGUUGUACAUUAGUAAUCAUCGACCCGAGCCCUACUAGAGAUUCGAGUCUCCGACCCGUGACCUGGAUAGGUCCCACAAGAAUAUUGAGUGCGAAGCGAGCCAUGAGAGGACAACAAGGUGAAUUCACGGUCCCUACUCACAGAGCGAGCUCGUGGGCUCAGCUCGUAACGCAAUGCCACAGACCCCGCUUUCAAGGACCAAGGGAAGGCCACUGUCUCAGCUCGCAUACACUCAGUGAACUCGUAGAAAAGGGUCGUGUGCUCCGUGAGCUUCCCAGACACGUGUCUAGUAGGUACGGAGCCCGCCUAGGACGUUAAUUUCAAGAAUAGAAAGGACCACGUGCUCCGUAGACACGUGCCCAGUGAACCUAGAGUUAGCAGAGAAUGUCAGUACGAGAGAUAGAGGAUGUCAGUACUAGUGGCAACAGAGUCAAGACAAAAUAGCGGGGGCCAUAUCAUGAGCUGUAAUGAACUGUAAUCUCAUUAAUUUAGCAUCUAAGUUGAUCUGAAAAUUGGUGUUCACAUUUCAAGUCUAUGUAUUUAUUAUGUUAAAAUCUCCAAUGAAUGGAAAUUCAACAAUGAAGGAUGGCAAAAAGCUUUAGGCGGUUUAGUAAGGUAUAUUUAAAUGGAAAGAUUUUAAUUGGAAGAGCAUGAAAAAUAAUUAAAACAUAAAAAACUUUCUUCUAAAUUCCAAAAUUGAGUAUGAAAAUUCACCUUUGCAAAAUAUAUUUCAAUAAAUACAAUCAACAUAAGAAAAUUAUAUUUUGAAAGAGAUAUAGUAAUCACAUUGUUCUUUAUCAGGGGCGUAGCUAGUGGACUGGCCCCUCUUAAAAUGGAAAAAUUUUCAUUUAGACCCUUUAAAAUUUUAAAUUAAUAAAGGUAAAAAUACACUUUGCCCCCCUUAACAAUGAUAAAAAAUUAUUUAAUCCUUUAAAAAUUAUAAAGAUAUAGAGUAUUAAAAUAAUGAAAUUGUAUUUUUAAUAUCGUAAAAAAUUAUAAUUUAAUUUUUUUUCCCUUAAAAAAAAGUUUCUGGCUUCACUCCUCCUAUCAAUGUUUUCAUUUCCUUAACAAAACAAUCAAAAUAAUAAAAUUUUAAAUCAUCAAAAGAAGGGAAAAUAAAGAAUGAGACCUUGAAAUAGACUUACAUGUACCUCAUUCUCCCCCUUAUAGUAUCUAACAUCAAUCAUUCAAUCAAUUUCUUGAUUUGUAUAAUACUAAAUUGUUUGAUUUUAAAAAAUAAGAGUUAUAAUUGAUAAUAAAAUCAAAGAUGAUAUGGAAAUUAUUUAAUCAAAUAUCAAUAGAACAUAAUUUUACAAAUAUAAAAUAUUAGUAUUUAUGAUAUAUUUUAACUUCAGGGAUCAAAAAAAUUAAAAAGAGCCUUAUAAUAUUAUAAUAUAUAUGAUAAUUUUUUUAAUAUUUUGCUUUAGCCGACCCUGAUAUCCUUUCCAUAUAGAACUCUUCAUCGUCAAAGCUUAAAUUAUUCUUUCUAUAUAUUAUUUAGGGUUAUGAAAAGGCGAUAUAUCUAAGUUCCAUCCAAGUAUGAUUGUUCAUCAAAGCUCUCGCAAGGAAUCAAAUUGCGAAACAAUGGCGACGGAUGAUUUCAUCAGUGACCUUCCCGACGAAGUUUUGGCUACGAUUAUAUCAGGCUUACCAGCCAUUGAAGCAAUAAGAACAACUAUUUUAUCAAAACGAUUGAAGGACGUAUGGAGGAAUGUUUCCCGUUUAGAUUUCGAUCCAAAAGGAGUGAAGAAAUUAUUUCCUGCUCCAAAUCGACGCAGAUCUACGGUGCCAGUAAUACAGUUUGGAUCCAAUGUUUGCCAUGACGAGGGUGAUGAUAUUGAUGAUACUGAUCCGAGGGAAGAGAUUUCCCGAGUUGUUAAGAAUAUCGAUAAUGUAUUGUUAUCUCAUGAACGUAACUUGAUUAGUUGCAGAAUCGUUCAUCUCUCAAAUAGUUACAGAAGCGGUGAUGUUGAGAAGUGGAUCAAAUAUCUUACAUCCGAGAAGAAAGUGCAAGAAUUGGCUUUCCUUUGCGAUGAUUUUCAGCAUGAGUUUUAUCCAGUAAGCCUUUUUGGAUGGGGUCUGAAUUUACCGUCUGGGAUUUUUUCAUGUAGAACUCUGCAAUCGCUUGAGUUCACAAAUUACGGUAUCCGAUUCCAUCGCCCUUUUCACCAUUGCCAUAACCUCAAAACCUUGAAACUCUAUUACUGUGAUAUUAGCAGUGAAACCCUUGAAGCAAUCGUUUCUAGCUGUGAUUUUAUGGAACACCUGAGCGUUUGUUCUUCCACCUCCAGUUUAAAACAGGUUCGGAUCUUUAGCCAAACGGUUAAGACUGUGGAGCUGGAAUCAUUGGAUUUGGAGGGGAUUUAUUUAUCUACCCAAUCUCUUGGUGCUUUGGUGCUUCAUUCUAUGAAAUUUCCAGCCAAAAGUUUGGUUAUCCAUGCUCCAAAUCUUAGGGUUUUUACUGCAACUCGCAAGCCCAUAACUAA